AACUUUCAACAACGGAUCUCUUGGUUCCCGCAUCGAUGAAGAACGCAGCGAAACGCGAUAGUUAAUGUGAAUUGCAGAAUUCAGUGAAUCAUCGAGUCUUUGAACGCACAUUGCGCCCAUUGGUAUUCCAUUGGGCAUGUCUGUUUGAGCGUCAUU
rnacentral:rRNA from 15 species